AAUAGGGUGAGAGAUCCUUACUAAUUUUGAAGUAUGAAAUCGGGUUCUUACUGUGCCUACGGGCAGUCCCUAGAUUCCUUGAAUUUUUUUCUAGAAACUGAAACACACUUCCGGUACCUGCACGUGUCCCAAAAAAAAACCCCAAAUCAAAUCCAGGGCCUUUUCGGCCAAUUUCAGAAUUCUGGCACGGCGGCUCUGCCGUGCUCCGACGACGU
rnacentral:lncRNA from 1 species